rnacentral:piRNA from 1 species
UGACGAAGGACUGCGUUGUAGUAAGAUA